GCCACGACCUUGACGAAGGGGGCCUGUGGAGGACCGUGCAGCCUGUCGAGAGUUUUCGUGUGCUGGCGCGGCCGCGGGAAUGCUUCCCCGCGCGUGUUUUAGGCAGUGAAAAAUGUCACAAAAUAAGUAACACUAAAAGAAGAUAGAAAAUAUUCACAUUGAAGAAACAUUUAUGUUAAGCAGUACUGGAGAGAAGAGACUGUAAGGGAAUGAAGGAUUUAACCCCAGCCUGCAUUGUACAAGUCAGAGAACAUCAUACCAAGUCAUUGCAACAAAGAGGAGGGGAAAAAAAAACCCAAACCAACUAAAAAAACUUAUUACAUAUCCACAUACUGCCACACAAACUGACCUAAGGAGAAUAAUUUAAAGUCAACAGAGAAGUUUCAUGCAGGCCCCUGUACAAAGACACUGCUGUGUUGUCCAUAGCUACUUCAGAUAGGAACGGAUUUUCGAGAAGAGUCAAGGAGUUCACUCAAACUAAAAAAGUCUGAUUUUCAAGGUUAGAUGUUUGCCAAGAAUUCAUUUCACUUACGUGAAGAUUCACAUCAUAAGUCACACCCACCUUCAGAUUUUUGGCCAAAGUGAUUGAAGUUUGAAAAGUUAACGAGGUCCUGACAAAGAUGUGAGGGAAAGUAUCAAAUAACCCAAUAGCAGUGGGUCUGUGUGGGGAGAGCCUCGAUGAUGAGAGCCUGAAAUCCAUUCCAUUGGCACUUCUGGUGGAGGUACAGGUCCAGUCCCAAGGAUAGAAGAUCUACACAUUGGAGAAGAGAACAAUAGCUCAUGCCUUCAACUGAGGGGUCAGUUUGCACUCAGAAACUACUCUGUGAUGUGAACCAAGUCAUUAAGUUAGGAUGAUCCAGAGAUUUGCUUCAAAACUGCCCCUUGAUCCAAACAAAAAUGCUAAACCAGAUGCACUCGAAGCAAGUAAGUGUUAAAAGUACGUUGCUGUCUUUAGAUCACCUGUGCCUGACUGGCCUCACAAGGAAAGAGCUAUACCCUCAUUUGCCUCAUGUCAAAGAAAGCUGGUUUCCUGUGGAAAAAAGUCAAGACAGUAUUUCCCAGCAAUAUUUCUGACAGCUUCUACACUGUUUUGAAGUGGUAGUAUAUGCAAACAGAGAACAGAUACCCUGUAAAGUCUUCCUUUUUAAACUGGAACUAAAAUUAUAUGCAGGCUGGUCUAGUUCUUGAUACCACUUCCAAGCACAGGAUUACAUGAAUUUGAAAACUGCUAAAAACAUUUAUGUUUGGUUCUUUUUCAUGUGUGUAAAGUUGGCCCCUCUCUCUCAAUUCAUUAGGA